AUGGCUCAGGACAAACGCUGGCGGCGUGCCUAACACAUGCAAGUCGAACGGGACUCAGCUGAUGGUAACUGAUGUUGAGUUAGUGGCGGACGGGUGAGUAACGCGUGAGUAACCUGCCUUCAGUGGGGGACAACAGAGGGAAACUUCUGCUAAUACCGCAUGAUACAGCGAGAUCGCAUGGUCUUGCUGUCAAAGAUUUAUCGCUGAAAGAUGGACUCGCGUAUGAUUAGAUAGUUGGUGAGGUAACGGCCCACCAAGUCGACGAUCAUUAGCCGGACUGAGAGGUUGAACGGCCACAUUGGGACUGAGACACGGCCCAGACUCCUACGGGAGGCAGCAGUGAGGAAUAUUGGGCAAUGGGCGCAAACGCCUGACCCAGCAACGCCGCGUGAAGGAAGACGGUCUUCGGAUUGUAAACUUCUUUAAUUGGUGAAAGAAAAGAAAUGACGGUAGCCAAAGAAUAAGCCACGACUAACUACGUGCCAGCAGCGGC
rnacentral:rRNA from 1 species